rnacentral:tRNA from 1 species
GCUUUCGUGGCGUAAUUGAAAGCAUGUCCGACUGGAAAUCGGGAUGCCCGGAAUUCGAAUACCCGACGAAAGCA